rnacentral:tRNA from 1 species
GGACCCGUAGUGUAGCGGUCUAACACAUUGCCCUGUCACGGCAAAGAUCACCGGUUCGAAUCCGGCCGGGUCCGCCA